rnacentral:rRNA from 1 species
CAGCCGCGGUAAUACGUAGGGGGCGAGCGUUAUCCGGAGUUACUGGGCGUAAAGCGCACGCAGGCGGUCGGGCAAGUUUGGGGUGACAGCUCCCGGCUCAACUGGGAGAGCGCCUUGAAGACUGCGCGACUUGAGGGCCACAGAGGGACACGGAAUUCCGGGUGGAGCGGUGAAAUGCGUAGAUAUCCGGAGGAACACCAAAGGCGAAGGCAGUGUCCUGGGUGGUACCUGACGCUCAGGUGCGAAAGCUAGGGGAGCGAACGGGAUUAGAUACCCCGGUAGUCCUAGCUGUAAACGAUGACCACCAGGUGUGCGGGGUAUCGACCCCCUGCGUGCCGACGUUAACGCAUUAA